AGAGCGAACGCUGGCGGCAGGCCUAACACAUGCAAGUCGAGCGCCCGUAGCAAUACGGGAGCGGCAGACGGGAGAGUAACACGUGGGAACGUACCCUUCAGUUCGGAAUAACCCAGGGAAACUUGGACUAAUACCGAAUACGUCCGUAAGGAGAAAGAUUUAUCGCUGAAGGGAUCGGCCCGCGUCUGAUUAGCUUGUUGGUGAGGUAACGGCUCACCAAGGCGACGAUCAGUAGCUGGUCUGAGAGGAUGAUCAGCCUCACUGGGACUGAGACACGGCCCAGACUCCUACGGGAGGCAGCAGUGGGGAUAUUGGACAAUGGGCGCAAGCCUGAUCCAGCCAUGCCGCGUGGAUGAUGAAGGCCCUAGGGUUGUAAAGUCCUUUCGGCGGGGAAGAUAAUGACGGUACCCGCAGAAGAAGCCCGGCUAACUUCGCGCCAGCAGCCGC
rnacentral:rRNA from 1 species